GGCCCCGUGGUGUAGCGGUCCAACAUGCCUCCCUGUCACGGAGGAGAUCGGCGGUUCGAAUCCGCUCGGGGUCG
rnacentral:tRNA from 2 species